CGUCCACCGUCUCCCUCCAUUCGUGCGACUCUCUUGCUUCUGCCUCACUUUUCUUUUCAUCUCGUCAAAGCAAACAGCUCCGGUUCCACAAUCAUUUCCUCUCCAUCUCUUCUACCAUCUACCGAAGCCUCCAUAUCCUCUGCAUCUCCACGUUUCUCUACCCAAGCUUCGGUUUGUUGACCGAAGCUACCUGCCGCAUCUUCGUGCAGCCACACGCCCACGGAAGAAGAAGCCCCAUGUGUUCAGUCAAGGCCGCAAGACCCAACUUGCCGUUUGUUGAUUGAAGCUCCUCACUGCUUCGUGCGUCCAGCGAAGCCACAAUCCACUGAAGCCAGCCGAUUUCCUAUUUUGUUGACCUUGUGGCCGCGUGUCUUCAGCUCCAUUGAACUCAACUGCAGCGACGUCCAAGCCUCCGCACGUCCGCGCCACUUGUCCUUGCACCGCGAUUCUUUGGUCAAUAGCCGCAAGUUGCUCCCAUUUGGUUGACCACCGAGCGAAGUCGAAGCAGCUCCGUUCUUCACGGCAUCUUCUUCAGCUUGUGCGAAGCGACCCAACCCAGCAACUUCACGUGCAACACCUCCUGCCGUUACCUCGAGCAGCACCGUUGGAAGACCACCCACCAGCUGCUUCCUCGUCCGUUGAUCUUCGUGAAGCGGGCUCAACAUCUUAGAGAAUUCUAGCGCUCGCAUGCCCUGAUCCCAACUGCCAGCAAUUGCGCGAAGCUGCACGCGUGCAAUCGAGCGGCCCAUCAGCCCAGCGUCUUCAGAUUUCGGCCUAGCUCCUUCAGUCUCGCGGGCCCAAAGAAUUGAGUCCAUCCAGCCCAUAAAUCAGUGAAGUCAGUCCAAAUUUGGCCCAUCAAUCCAGCAGCAAGUCUUUGAGGCCCAAUUCAACAGCCCAUUCUUGAAGCCCAAGCCCGCGAAGCAAGUCAGCCCAACUCAGGCCCAAGUUCAGUCUAGGCCUAGAAUUUUCUGUGGGCUUUCGAGGCUUUUAGGCCCGGUCCGUGUGCUGUCGAUGUCACCGAACACCCGAGUUUCGGCUGCUGUCGCGUUGCCAUCGUGGUGAUUCGGUCUCCGCUUUUACCAAGACCCUAAGGAGAAGCUGAGGAAGAGGAACCUUAAGGGAAGAAAGACUUUUGAAGAAGAAGAUGAUCCAAAGAGGGAUUUUGAGUAUAACCCGAAUGUGGAUUGAGAUCCCAUCCCUUUUGUAAACCCUGUCUUGGUGUAGAUAGGUGUAAGACAAGUAUGUUGUGAAUAGUAUUGUAAAUAUACUAUAAGUGUUGUUAAUAAAAGUGUGGUUGUGAAUUUCAA